ACAGGGGGAUCAUCAGUCUGUCUGCAGGACGAGCUGCGUCCUGCCCAGCAAACCAGCUCACACUCACACACUCUCUAAACAGGCUUGGAGCGACUGAAGCUGCUGUCCGGUUUGAAGAUGCUCAUUAGGACACAACAGGAAGCAGUUGGUCAGUUAGUAGAGCACAUGCAGGUUACCAGCAACAGGUGGACAGCAGCACACAGGCACAUAUGAAGGGAAGGCAGGCAGGCAGACAGACAGACAGACAGACGUACCAGGCGGGCAGGCAGACAGCGGGCAGACAGCAGGGACUUAAAUUUAUUCGUCAAACCAACAAUCUCACCCCAACACCCACCGAAGUCCCCAAACACACACUCUGUUGUGAAAAUCACACAAGCAUCUUGCGAGAGAUGUAAAAUAAUACAGACAGCCACAGUGAGCGAGCGAGGGAGAUUAAGGGGAAGUGACAGAGCUGGCGCAGGAUGUUUGACUGUUUGCUCUUGCUUUAACAACAUCCUCUGCGCAGACACCCGAUGAGGACAGAGAUACAGGACUGAACCAUUGUUCUGCUUAUCUUCGUCCGGGCUCAUAUCUGCUGGCCCAGGGGCUAUUGAGGAGCGGAUGACCACUGAUAGAGACACAAACACACAAACUGCAGGGAAGGACUGGCUCUAAUUAGUGGAUCAACAUAUUGGUGAUGAUGAUGCUUAAUUAUCCUUGCUCAUGUUGGAUUUGGAGGUAAAUCUGUGUUGGCAGACACUGAGGAGAUCUAAUUUAAGUCAUAAAUGUACUCAUUUUCAUAUAGAUUUGGAGGGUUUAAUCUGCUGUUUGAGAAGAGAAUAUUUUGCUCAGAAAAAAAUGUUAGGUUUAACUGUAUGAUUAAAAAAAUGUCAUGAAACGAAGCCUUUUUAUAUUAUAUAAAUUGAUUGUCAUGAUUAUUUUAACUAUAAUAAAAUAAUUUCAGUGCUGUGAAACAAAUGCAUACAUAAAAUUAUAUAAUGAUAAAAAAUUAAAUAAUAUUAUUUAGUAUUUUGUUAUUAUAUGCAUUUUUGAAUUGUUGAAAUGUUGAAUUUUAUAAUAAUAUAAUUAGUGCCGGGCAAAGAUUAAUCACACCCAAAAUUAAAGUUUGUUUUUAC
ensembl:processed_transcript